CUUAAAACGGCAAAAGAUGCGGUAAACUAUCUCUUGACAGUGGUAAAUUUGAGACCGUCCACGCAUACUGCUGUAGUUUUGCGCUAAAGUAUAAUAUUUUAGAGAAAAUCAAACGUGCUACACUACAAAAUCGAUGAAAAAGAAGGUAUCGCCACUUACAACAUCAACGUUGACUAUAGUUAUGAAGACCCAGACGUUCUUAUCGGUAUCAUAAAAGAAAUUGAGCAUAAAAUCGAAGUGUCUAAAAUAUUGCAAUCAGCCGAAGAAAACUUCAAGACUUAUAUUCCGCAAGCGCCAAUUGUACAAUCCCAGGCUGGGCCUAGUGGUGUGCUAUUUAACCAGCGACAAUUACCGCCAAGGGCAAGCAGCAACAUUGAUAUUUUUGCGACAUCGUUGCUUAUGGAAUGUGAACUGGAAAAAAUCGAAGAAAUGUCCGAUACCGAGUAACUUUGAAUUCUUCCUAAAAUUAUAUUUGAACCGAAAUACUUUUUGAACUACUACUUUUCGGGCGGUCUCAUAUACACAGCGAUGAAAAACUUUGACAGAGCAAUUACUUUUUUCGAAAUUGUUUUCAUGACAACAUUUCCUGUAAUUUCGCCAAUCACGAUUGAUUCCUAUAAGAAAUUCAUUUUACUUGUCUUCAUACACUUCGGAUCGGUACCAACAUACUGUAACGUUGAUCCCACAAUCCUCGAUGAAUUGUAUGGACCAACGUGUCAACCGUACUUAGAUUUGGUACCACUUUAUCAAAGUGGAAAUUUAACAGCAGUCCACGCGACAAUUGCUAAACACCAAGAUAUUUAUGUAAGGGAUAAAAAUGUUGGAUUGGUGAAACAACUUGUGAAAUCUUUGAACCAGGCCAACUUGUUCUCGACCAUGACCCUAGCCGAGUUGGCCGAACAACUCAACCUUAAAACGGCAAAAGAUGCGGUAAACUAUCUCUUG